GGGGAUUUAGCUCAGUGGUAGAGCGCUUACCUAGGGAGCAAGAGGCCCUGCAUUAGGUCCCCA
rnacentral:tRNA from 1 species